rnacentral:tRNA from 1 species
GCCUCUAUAGCUCAGCGGUAGAGCGAUUGCUUCGUAAGCAAUCGGUCGUGGGUUCGAUUCCCAUUGGAGGCU